rnacentral:rRNA from 1 species
CAGUCGCCGCGGUAAUACGUAGGGUGCGAGCGUUAAUCGGAAUUACUGGGCGUAAAGCGUGCGCAGGCGGUUUUGUAAGACAGAGGUGAAAUCCCCGGGCUCAACCUGGGAACUGCCUUUGUGACUGCAAGGCUAGAGUACGGCAGAGGGGGAUGGAAUUCCGCGUGUAGCAGUGAAAUGCGUAGAUAUGCGGAGGAACACCGAUGGCGAAGGCAAUCCCCUGGGCCUGUACUGACGCUCAUGCACGAAAGCGUGGGGAGCAAACAGGAUUAGAUACCCGUGUAGUCCCUGUCUCUUAUAC